ACACCUCUUAAACAGCCAAACAACCUCAGUAACAAUCUCCACGUCAAAAAGCGCAGACGUGUAAAAUAAUUGCCCUGAAGACGGUUUGCCGAUGUGCAACCGAAAUAUAUCGGAAGAAAAUUAAAA